ensembl:lncRNA
GGGGGUGCGGAUCUGAGCAAGCUAAGCGGAGAAGCUGGGCUCCAGGAGAGCGACCCUCACCCCAAACUUACGAACUUGGCCGGGAAGGGACUAGGAAGAGCUAGGUGUCUGCGGAAGACCGCAGAGAACGAGAGAGUCGGGCGGGACAGAGUCGCGGCGGAAAACCCGACCGCGAGCGGGAGUGCAGAGGACCGCGGGCGGCGGAGAGCGGCAGUGGAGCCGCGGAGCGCGAGGCAGGAGCCGCGGACCGCGCGCGGACGGCUGAAGACCGCGAGGGCGGCGCAGACAGACGCUGUGGAAAGAGACUUCCCUGCCUGGGACUACGGCCGCAUCUUCCCUCCCACACCCCCGCAGCCCGCNNNNNNNNNNNNNNNNNNNNNNNNNNNNNNNNNNNNNNNNNNNNNNNNNNNNNNNNNNNNNNNNNNNNNNNNNNNNNNNNNNNNNNNNNNNNNNNNNNNGCAGCCCGCAGCCCUAGAGCCCACGUGUGGCUUCAGCACCUCUAAGCUGGGACAGCGACUCCCUCGAGCGCGCCUGGUAACUUCCGGUCGCGGGAGUUCACACCUGGCCAGCAGAGCAGGCGCUGACCCGGAGUUUACACUUUGCAGGCAGAGGCUGGAGCUGACCCAGACGAGGAGUACACCCUCUCGCGUCCCCACUGCCCAACCAUUGGGCUUCCCUUUCCCCACUUCUAAGCAGGAUCCAACCAAACUGAAAAUCCCCAAGACUCAAGCCCACCCGGAGGUGGGAAAAGCAGAAACACCCAAAUGCUCCUAGUAAAGUUCCCAAAGCUGGAGUUUUCUCUUUUCGUAAAUAAUUAACGCUGGUCAUAAAUAACUGAUGGAGGCAGUGGAGAAAGGAGGGAGGAGGAGGCAUCGAAGAGCCAGGGCGGCCAAAGAGAAAUCGAAGAGUUUGUUAAAGGACCAUUAAGUAAGCCUUGCUGGGAACGGCAUUUCUCUGUAGAUGGCAGAGCGGUUUCACCCAGGCACCCAGUCAUGGGAUAGAAGCAGGGAAGCAAGGCACCCAGGGGAUUGGGGGUUGUGCUGACCAAGCCUGCAGCACCCAUCAAAGACCCAGUCUCAGCAGUUUACCCAUUCCCUCCCCUCUAGACCAGACCUAUCUUCCCAGAGCCCUCUGAACCUCUAGUCAUCCUCCAGCCAUCUGUCAUUCCCAAAGUGCUGAAGUUCUAGGCUAGAUAGUUGAGACAAAGGGAUGGAUCUAGGCUUUGAGCUCUGUGAGUUCUGCCCAGGCCUUUGGCAAGUCCUGCCCAAUCCCAGCUUGCAGGCACCUUCCUAAAGCCACCUCCUCACUCCAUCCCAAACUAUACCAUUUUAUUCUUUUUAAAAACCUGUCUGAAAUUUUGGGACUUCAGCCUCUUGCUGGUUCAUUCUCAUCCUUCCACAUUAGAACCUUGAAGAACAGGGUAGUACACAUACACACACAUACCCCACUGCUAAAUGCUCUUACCCUGCCCCUCCACCAUCUCCAAUUCCUGACUUUCUUUGAGGGUCUUAAGCAUGCUGACCUCGGGCACCUUGUAUGCACCCCAGUUCUGAACUGAGACUCUUAGGCAGGGGUCUCAGAAUCUGGAAGAAAGCCCAAGAGGAAACCCUUCCUCCUAGGUUGGAGGCCAAUGCCAGUCUUUUGACCCCUUUAGGAAACACUGGCCUCUCACCAGAUGGCCAGGCUCAGAUGGCCAGCAUAUGCUUUCAGAGUGAAAUUUCUGAGGACCCUUAAGCCAAGGAUCCAGCACAAUCCUCAGGCCUUCAGUGAGUCCAUUCUGCAAGGAAAGUCAUGUCUUUUCCUAGUACAGCUUGUCACAGACCCUGGGAAGAAAAUAUUGUAGACUGUAGCAACCACCACUGGCUGAGAGGUUGGGUUCUGACUUAGGGACAGGCAGGAGCCUUGUAGCCUUUCCAUUGGUUAACAGCUUCCACCAGCCCUACUUCCCUGAGGACCAGAUUUGGAUAUACCAAAGGCCAGCCUGGCUUUUCUGGGUGGGAGCAGAGAAGAGCUUCNNNNNNNNNNNNNNNNNNNNNNNNNNNNNNNNNNNNNAAUGAAAAUUCUCACUUGUCAUCAUGUGAUAUGAAAGAAAACACUGAAAUCAGUUUUUCUCAUCUACUUCAUCCCCAUCCCAACAUUUCAAACCCUGAGCUCUUACCUUUUAAAGAACUGGGAAAUUCUGAAUGGGGAAAAAGAAUAGGACAGUUUAGGGAAUUGUCUUUCUGCCUCAAUAGGGACACAACAACCCAAUAGGGUUGUGAAACUAGACAAAGGGGUGGGAGGAAAUCAGAUCUGAAGGAGAGGAGGCCAGCCCUGGAGCCGAGGGUUGUUUACUUCUCAUAUAAAAUAUAACUCCCCCAAGCAGGAAGUUGCUGCAAACAAGUAUCAAUAAUGAAUGAAUCUCCUGUAAUAAAAUACUUACAUAAUUAGCACAAGUCAAGUGGUUGCAUUAUGUUAACCUUUUGCAACUCCAAGCUGGAAAAUUUUGCUCCAGAAUUCCUCCAAAUGCUGUUUUCAUUCUCACAAGAGGGUGAGAGCCGAGUGCUUGCCCAACCUGCCUCUCUGUUAUAAGAUGGUUUUCCAUUUCUGAAUCAGAACGUAAGUACUUCUGAAAUAUAACAGAAAACUCUCUUUGGUGAAUUCAGAACAGUCAUUAACAUUCAGUUUUAAGUGAAUGUUAACAGUAAAUAAAGAAAUCUCUUGAUUGUAAUAGUAGUAACAAAGCAAUAAUUACCCAGUAGGUGGUCAUCAGUAAUGAUAAAUGUAUCAUUAUUACUAUGUGAGUCUGGGAACUUGGUUUUGGAAACUACUUCAGACUUUUUAGUAGCAUGGCUGGUUACAAAGCAUUUCUUAGCCUGCAAAAGCCAUAUAAUUUUAUACACAAUUUAGGUGAAAAUAAAUUUAAAUCUGUAUAUUACAUUUUUAAUUUCAAGUUAGUAAUUAAAGUUGGUUCAUUAUAUCUCCUCUGAAACCCUCAGUGCUCAUCUCCGUGGUUUGUUUGUACAAUUUGUUUCUAAGACACCCAAGGUUACACAGUUCUAAAAGAUGGAAAAUUUAAUUAUUUGCCAACAUUAAGAGUUUGUCGAUGAUAUCAUAACGCAUCUUGCAGAACUUUGGAACUGGUGAUUUUGUCUUUGAUCUGGUUAGCUCUGCUUUCGCUUUGAACCCCUAACCUCAAGAGGGAAAGCCUUUUUGCUUAAAAAGUACUUUUAAGUACACAAAAAUAGAAAAUUCCUCUCAAUAUUCUCUCUGAAUAUUCAGUGCUUGCUAUUCUUUCCAGGGGAAAAAAAAAAUCAAUGACUCAGAUUUCUAACCCCCUCUACCCUGGGAUUUAUUUUGCUAAUAUCUAAUUUCACCUUUUGCUACCACUGAGCUAACGACUGCAGGCAGGAGGAAAGCUGAAGUCAUGAAGCUUAUUGGGCAGCCUGAGAGCACAUGAUACUUUAAUAAUGUAUUAGCUAAUGGGAUCAAGCUUGAUGGCAAAGGAAAAAUUUUUCAAAUAGGGAGGAGUGAGAGGGAAAAGAACAGGAAAUGGAGGGGAGGGAAUGUCUUCAUUUCCCCAGGAAAUAAAAUCCAAUGUUCCUUCCACCAGUGUCAGCUGGGGAGAUGUUAAAUGUAUAUCUAUGUCAUUUUCUCUCUUGUGACAUGUCAACAGACAGUCUACAGCCCCUCCCCCUACUCCUAUUCCUCUGCCUCCCCUCUUCAAGAUAUAAAAGAUCCUGCUCCACACCCGUUCUGCAUCCUUAGCCUCAGUUACUUCUUAAAUUGCUUCCCUGAAACAAAAGAGCCAGUUUUUUGUUUUUUUAAAGCCUCAAACCACAUUUCUUGGUCUUGGUGGCAGUUGAAGUCUUCAUACAGUUAGACUCUUUUUGCAUAAAUCCACUAAAAUACUCGCCUUAGUUUUCUCUCCCACAGUCUUUAUUUCUUGUUCCACUUUCUCCUUUUCC